AGAGUUUGAUCCUGGCUCAGAAUGAACGCUGGCGGCAGGCCUAACACAUGCAAGUCGAACGGAUCCUUCGGGAUUAGUGGCGGACGGGUGAGUAACGCGUGGGAACAUACCCUUUGGUACGGAAUAGCCUCGGGAAACUGGGAGUAAUACCGUAUGUGCUCUUCGGAGGAAAGAUUUAUCGCCAAAGGAUUGGCCCGCGUUGGAUUAGGUAGUUGGUGGGGUAAUGGCCUACCAAGCCGACGAUCCAUAGCUGGUUUGAGAGGAUGAUCAGCCACACUGGGACUGAGACACGGCCCAGACUCCUACGGGAGGCAGCAGUGGGGAAUCUUAGACAAUGGGGGAAACCCUGAUCUAGCCAUGCCGCGUGAUCGAUGAAGGCCUUAGGGUUGUAAAGAUCUUUCAGUGGGGAAGAUAAUGACGGUACCCACAGAAGAAGCCCCGGCUAACUCCGUG
rnacentral:rRNA from 1 species